ensembl:lncRNA
GCUAACUCCAUUGAUUCAAGUCAAAGAUAAAGACCAGGCUCUUCCUUCAAGGAAAAAUAAAAGGAAUCUGUAGGUUGCUGCUGUCAUUAUUUGGAGGAAGAGGAAAAAAAAUAAUGCUGAGGAGUUGUUGAUGACUUAGAGCAACUGUUUUUCAGCCUACACGAAGGUGUUUGCCAGGUUGAUAAUGCUUCUGAUGGCCUUCAUCCUGUUUAUGUACAGCAGGAAGCCUGUGGGACCAAAUGCAGAUGUUGAGAGACUAAGGGGCCUUCAGUACUUUCCAAGCCUCCGUGAGAGAGAGGAGCUGAAGUCCAGUCCAAAGGUUGUGCUGGCAUCCAGGAGAUACUGUAGCAAAUCUCAAUGCGAUUUAUUUUAUUUUAUUUUUAUCUAUCUAUCUAUCUAUCUAUCUAUUUAUUUAUUUUAAAGUUAAUUCCACUUGGGCUUCCUAUUCAUAAAUACUAAGCUGCAUGUUUGGAGGGUCUGGCUAGGGCAGAGGAUGAUUGGUGUCAGUUGUCUUCCCCUCCCCAUGUCUCCUGAGUUAUUCAGCACAUGGUCACCAAGUUCAGGUUCCAACUGUGCCUUUUGUAUCUCUUAGAAGCUAACGGUGAUUGUGGUCUCUUGGUACAUCCUGUCCCACUUGUGUGAGUCAGGAUUUAAUCCCUUUUAUCUCCUUUAUCUGUGUGCCUGAACACUCCAUUCCUGUCCAUCAUCGUUCUGUAACUAUCUCCUAAUGCAGACUGUUCUUUAAGUUCAUGUGCUUUCUCCACCAGGAUGUCCUGGGAUACUGGGUUCUCAGUGCUGGGAACUUGCUGGGAACUCUAACCUAGGUGCUACCAACAUCUGCCAUGCGUACAGCCCUACUUCUGAGUUUCCUUCUGGUAUUUCCAUGCCUAGACGUGCCCAUCCACUCUCCAUUCAGUUCAAUCUUAGCAUUUCUACUACAGUCUCUCUCUUUUUUUUUUUUUUUUUCCCAUGGCUGGGUUUAAUCACUUUGGGUUUCUGUGCCCAGCAGAACGUGUCCUUACUCCUCAAAGACCGGCAGUGAUGGCUUUGCUUCUGUGGAGUAAAAUACGCCCAAGCUACAAACAAUAUUUUCUAAACUACUCACGUAACUAGGGGAGGGAUCCAGUAUGGCACGUAGGGACACAUAAACUGAAGUGCAGGGAGAUUUGAGGCAUUGAAGUCUGAUACUGCAACCCAGGCUGCCUCUUUCUAGCUGCCCGCUCAGCCUGGAGGUAUAUCUGGUUGGUGCCUCCCAGCUUGAAUCUCGAGUUCCUCGUGAAGUUCCCUGCCUUUAAAAGAUGGGCGAUUAGCUGGUGUCUAAUAUCGCUGAAGGUUUAUCAGCUGCUGUAUGUGCCCUUGAAGGACCUGCUCUUCAAGGAGCCAUGCUGUACCAGGCAUACUGGGAGAACCCAGCUCCGUGCGAAAACCCACAGCAAGAGAUUCAUGAGGGGCCGGUUGCUGCGUGGCAGCACGCAGCUCAGCCUGAGUUCUCCAAAGGGAACUCAGAGACCAGCAAGGCAUCCUGGCUCACCCUUCAGGGGCCGGGUACCCCUAUGCCAGGCACUCUCAUGAAGCAGUAAUGACACAUGCAAUGCCCUCGCUUUAAAAAACAUAAAUAAAUAAAUAAAAUCCACACCUGUGUCUCUGCUC